UGCGCUGGGCUGGGUGGCUUGGUUUGUAGGGUCUGGGCUUAGUGGCUGGGUGUCUUGGUUGGUGUUUGGGGGGUCUCGGCCCUCAGUCUUUCCAGGGUUCCGAGUGGUGGUGGGUCAGAUGAGGUCAGAGGGUCCUGAAGAACACAGGCCAUGAAGAUAAACAGAGAGGGGAGAGAGAAACAGAGAGGAGAGAGACAGAGAUAAACAGAGAGGAGAGAGAAACAGAGUGGGGAGAGAGAAACAAAGAGGAGAGACAGAGAUAAACAGAGAGGAGAGAGAAACAGAGAGGAGAGAGACAGAGAGAAACAGAGAGGAGAGAGAAACAGAGAGGAGAGAGACAGAGAGAAACAGAGAGGAGAGAGACAGAGAUAAACAGAGAGGGGAGAGAGAAACAGAGAGGAGAGAGACAGAGAUAAACAGAGAGGAGAGAGACAGAGAUAAACAGAAGAGAGAGAAACAGAGAUAAACAGAGAGGGGAGAGAGAAACAGAGAGGAGAGAGACAGAGAUAAACAGAGAGGGGAGAGAGAAACAGAGAGGAGAGAGACAGAGAUACAGAGUGGGGAGAGAGAGAGAGAA
ensembl:lncRNA